UACGUAGGGUGCGAGCGUUGUCCGGAAUUACUGGGCGUAAAGAGCUCGUAGGUGGUUUGUCGCGUUGUUCGUGAAAACUCACAGCUCAACUGUGGGCGUGCGGGCGAUACGGGCAGACUGGAGUACUGCAGGGGAGACUGGAAUUCCUGGUGUAGCGGUGGAAUGCGCAGAUAUCAGGAGGAACACCGGUGGCGAAGGCGGCUUUCUGGACAGAUACCGACGUGAGGCACGAAAGCUAGGGGAGCAAACAGGAUUGAUACC
rnacentral:rRNA from 1 species